ACCUGUGUGGCUCAGUUGGUUGAGCAUCUGACUUUGGCUCAGGUCAUGAUCUUGCAGUUUGUGGGUUCGAGUCCCCCAUUGGGCU
rnacentral:tRNA from 1 species